rnacentral:lncRNA from 1 species
UUUUUUAGCUGACAAAACAAAGCCAGUCCUCUCUGUUACACGAGGGGAGCCACUAUAUUCCAAGAAACGUUUAUUUGAACUCUGACUAUUUCUCUAAGAAAAUUGAAUCUAAUUCGACCAUUCCAUCAGUUUCUGUAAGUUGUCAAACACUUUGAACUUAAACGUUAUUCAAUGUUAGGCUGACUUUAAUAUUCCAUUUAAGAUUUGAGUUGAUUUUCGGUUUUCUAUAGGUUUUAACUAUUUUACAUCCAUUUUAAAAGAUAAAGAUAAGAGAGAAAGGAAAGUGGAGAGAGAGAGAAAAGAGAGAAAAGCGAGAUCUAGUUUGGGGUUCGGCGCGCGGCCGGCGCGUGAGCGUCCGUGCCGGCGCCGGAGCCUCUGUUUUGUCCUUCUUAGUGUCUCUCCUUCGCUCUUCUUCGCCGUCCUGUCAACGACUGCCUUGUCCGAACUCUGGAUUCGACAUCACCGCUUACGGUGGUCUCGGUCUUGGAGCAACGACGCUCUCGUCGGGAGGGUCCUGGUGGUAGAAGUGGCAUGCAUGUUCAGUGGUGGUUUUUUUCCGGGAGGUGGAGGCUUUCGUAGAUCCACCGCCGCCGGCUCUAGUUCCCGGGAAGGGAGUCUUCAUUAGAUUUGCCUUCGCCGGCUCUAGUUUUGGAGAGCGGAGGCUAGCACAGCUCCGCGCUGCCACUUAGGAUCCCGCGGUUCUUUGGGAAAAGUUUUCUAGUUUAGUUUUGUUUCAUGGUCGGCGUAGUUGUCGGUAAGUCUUGGGUGGGGUCACUGCGGUUGAGUUCUUGGUAGAAGACAAGGGUCGCCGGUGAGGUGAUGUUUCACAAGGAAAGGAAGAGAUGGUGUCUUGGGUCGCGUGUCUUGGGUUUGAAGUAUGAUAAAGGCGGAGGAGAUCUCGAAGAUCGAUUGAUCUCUCCGGCGGGAUGACACGGCGGUGAAGUAGGGAUUUGCGUUUGUUUGGAGGCUUGUCUGGUUUCGAGCUCCGUCUAACAAGGUUCUCGCGGGUGGUUGUUUCCGGUGGCGUAAAGGCGGAGGUGAUCAAGUCGAGGCGGUGUCGACGUGUUUCGCGUCAAUGGAGCAGAUCACUCCACGUGUCGAGCCGCCUCCUUGAUGCGCUUGCCAGCGGGCCGGGUGGUUUCUUAGGGUGGGCCGAGGGCCUGUUUUAGUUUUUAUUUUGCCCCAGAGGUUUGGGCUUGCGUUUGUUUUCGUUGUAAUCGGGCUUCGGCCUUGUUUGGGCUUGGCCCUUUCAUCUUAUAAUAUCAAAACUUUGGCGGA